rnacentral:rRNA from 1 species
AGUGAACGCUGGCGGUAGGCCUAACACAUGCAAGUCGAACGGCAGCACAGUAAGAGCUUGCUCUUACGGGUGGCGAGUGGCGGACGGGUGAGGAAUACAUCGGAAUCUACUUUUUCGUGGGGGAUAACGUAGGGAAACUUACGCUAAUACCGCAUACGACCUACGGGUGAAAGCAGGGGAUCUUCGGACCUUGCGCGAUUGAAUGAGCCGAUGUCGGAUUAGCUAGUUGGCGGGGUAAAGGCUCACCAAGGCGACGAUCCGUAGCUGGUCUGAGAGGAUGAUCCGCCCAACUGGAACUGAGACACGGUCCCGACUCCUCCGGGGGGGAACAGGGGGGAAAUUUUGGAAAAGGGGGAAAACCCGACGCAGCAACGCCGCGUGGGUGAAGAAGGGCUUUGGGGUUUAAAACCCUUUUUGUUGGGAAAAAAAAACGGGAGGUUAACUCCCCGCUUCUUGGCGGUUACCAAAAAGAAAACCACGGCUAAAUUUGGG